GGCGGCGUAGUGCAGUGGUUUAGCAUCUCCUCCCCCCAAUCGGUCUCGCCUCGGCGAUGCCAUCUGACUGAUAAUUUGAGGCAGAGGAAGACGUUGGUUCGACUCCGACCGUCGCCA
rfam:Capronia semiimmersa strain CBS 27337 unplaced genomic scaffold supercont1.2, whole genome shotgun sequence.